CAAUCGGGAGAAGGAAGGAGUCUGGUUACCCCGCCCAUUGGGCGUGACAUCAUUUCCCACUCAACAGGGAAGCUCCAGGCCUUAGCAACCAGUUUAGGCCAGGAUUCUGACCGGCCAGGUUGUUCUGAGUCUUAAGUCUGAAGAAGUCUUGGAAUGGGAGACUUGGGCGAAUGAAGGGAAAGGCUGGCAGUUUAAAAUGAGUCACAUAAGAUUUGGUUACACCCUAAUCCCUGGACAAAGAUUGCUGCUUCCUGUCCCUGGACUCUCAUUAUGCCAGGGCUCAACCUUCUGGGGGCAGCCACCAAGGACUCAGAAAGGAAAACAGAAACAAGUCAAAAGGAUUACAUCCCCAGCCUUGCUAGAGAACAUGGGGUCUGAAGAAGACACAAGAAGAGUAAGACAAAUGAAAAACUGCUUAUCUAUUGAGACAGAGGCUUAGAUUCCGGAAUGAAGAAGAAGCAACGUCUCUUCCUUUUCCCCUAAAGAUUUGAGAAUGAAAUGGAAGAAGGGUAGGCUUGAGGAGGAAAGAUGAAAAGGAUUCUCACCAUUCCCCAGGUGACAAGAUCCAAACCCUUCCUCUCACUACAAGUGUCCUUCUGCCCACUCUCUGCCUUUGGUGUUGCAGGAAUUAACCUGGAGGGAGGAGCAUACAGGCACCUCUGGAAAUUAUGGGAAGCUCUGGGUUAACAAAGUCAAAGAGACAUCUGAGAGAAUGGGACUUGGGGUAGGGACACUGAUUCUGCUGUCUGUGAUUGUCA